CAAUAGCGUAUAUUUAAGUUGUUGCAGUUAAAAAGCUCGUAGUUGGAUUUCGGAUGGGACGCAGCGGUCUCGCAUUGCGUUUGUACUGCUGCAGCCCUCCUUCUUGCCGGGGGCGGCCUCUCGGACUUCACUGUCUGGGGGUCAGAAUCGGCGAUGUUACUUUGAGUAAAUUAGAGUGUUCAAAGCAAGCUUACGCUCUGAAUAUAAUAGCAUGGGAUAACACGACAGGACUCUGGCCUAUCGUGUUGGUCUAUAGGACCAGAGUAAUGAUUAAGAGGGACAGUCGGGGGCAUUCGUAUUCCGUUGUCAGAGGUGAAAUUCUUGGAUUUACGGAAGACGAACAUCUGCGAAAGCAUUUGCCAAGGAUGUUUUCAUUG
rnacentral:rRNA from 1 species